rnacentral:rRNA from 1 species
AGAGUUUGAUCCUGGCUCAGAACGAACGCUGGCGGCGUGGAUAAGACAUGCAAGUCGAACGAGAGAAUUGCUAGCUUGCUAAUAAUUCUCUAGUGGCGCACGGGUGAGUAACACGUGAGUAACCUGCCCCCGAGAGCGGGAUAGCCCUGGGAAACUGGGAUUAAUACCGCAUAGUAUCGAAAGAUUAAAGCAGCAAUGCGCUUGGGGAUGGGCUCGCGGCCUAUUAGUUAGUUGGUGAGGUAACGGCUCACCAAGGCGAUGACGGGUAGCCGGUCUGAGAGGAUGUCCGGCCACACUGGAACUGAGACACGGUCCAGACACCUACGGGUGGCAGCAGUCGAGAAUCAUUCACAAUGGGGGAAACCCUGAUGGUGCGACGCCGCGUGGGGGAAUGAAGGUCUUCGGAUUGUAAACCCCUGUCAUGUGGGAGCAAAUUAAAAAGAUAGUACCACAAGAGGAAGAGACGGCUAACUCUGUGCCAGCAGCCGCGGUAAUACAGAGGUCUCAAGCGUUGUUCGGAAUCACUGGGCGUAAAGCGUGCGUAGGCUGUUUCGUAAGUCGUGUGUGAAAGGCGCGGGCUCAACCCGCGGACGGCACAUGAUACUGCGAGACUAGAGUAAUGGAGGGGGAACCGGAAUUCUCGGUGUAGCAGUGAAAUGCGUAGAUAUCGAGAGGAACACUCGUGGCGAAGGCGGGUUCCUGGACAUUAACUGACGCUGAGGCACGAAGGCCAGGGGAGCGAAAGGGAUUAGAUACCCCUGUAGUCCUGGCAGUAAACGGUGCACGCUUGGUGUGCGGGGAAUCGACCCCCUGCGUGUCGGAGCUAACGCGUUAAGCGUGCCGCCCGGGGAGUACGGUCGCAAGAUUAAAACUCAAAGAAAUUGACGGGGACCCGCACAAGCGGUGGAGUAUGUGGCUUAAUUCGAUGCAACGCGAAGAACCUUACCUGGGCUUGACAUGUAAUGAACAACAUGUGAAAGCAUGCGACUCUUCGGAGGCGUUACACAGGUGCUGCAUGGCCGUCGUCAGCUCGUGUCGUGAGAUGUUUGGUUAAGUCCAGCAACGAGCGCAACCCCUGUUGCCAGUUACCAGCACGUGAAGGUGGGGACUCUGGCGAGACUGCCCAGAUCAACUGGGAGGAAGGUGGGGACGACGUCAGGUCAGUAUGGCCCUUAUGCCCAGGGCUGCACACGUACUACAAUGCCCAGUACAGAGGGGGCCGAAGCCGCGAGGCGGAGGAAAUCCUAAAAACUGGGCCCAGU